UAUUCUGUACACAGGGGAAAAUUCAUGAAGAAGAGGCAGUAGCAAGAUGAUGAGAACAAGACGGAGAAGAUGAAGAUGGCAACAAUGAAGAGGAGCUUGUGCAAUACUUUCAUUGAGCGUACAUAGUCAAAUUUAGAGACUUUGAACAGAAGAAAAACUUCUGGAGCAUUGGCACAUGAAGACACAAGUAGGCAUCAUUCAACACAUGAAGAUGUUAGAAGCGAACCACGAAAGAUUACAAAAGAUGACAUCAAGC
rnacentral:lncRNA from 1 species